rnacentral:tRNA from 1 species
GGGGUUGUGGCUCAGUGGUAGAGCACUUGCCUAGCAUGUAUGAGGCACUGGGUUCAAUUCUCAGUACCACA